rnacentral:rRNA from 1 species
GCACAAGCAGCGGAGCGUGUUGCUUAAUUUGAUGCUACGUGAAGAUCCUUACCUGGGUUUGACAUGUUUGGAAAAGCCACAGAGAUGUGGUGUCCGCAAGGGCCAAACACAGGUGGUGCAUGGCUGUUGUCAGCUCGUGUCUUGAGAUGUUGGGUUAAGUCCCGCAACGAGCGCAACCCCUAUUCUAUGUUGCCAGCAAGUAAAGUUGGGGACUCAUAGAAGACCGCCGGGGUCAACUCGGAGGAAGGUGGGGAUGACGUCAAGUCCUCAUGCCCCUUAUGUCCAGGGCUGCAAACACGCUACAAUGGCUGAUACAAAGGGUCGCUUGCCCGCGAGGGUUGGCCAAUCCCAUAAAGUCGGUCUCAGUUUGAAUUGAAGUCUGCAACUCGACUUCAUGAAGCUGGAGUUGCUAGUAAUCCCGGAUCAGCACGCCGGGGUGAAUACGUUCCCGGGCCUUGUACUCACCGCCCGUCACACCACGAAAGUCGGCAACACCCGAAGCCGGUGGCCUAACCGCAAGG